AAGCGCAUACGGUGGAUGCCUUG
rnacentral:rRNA from 1 species